AUGUGUUGAAAUUCAUACUUUUUAAAUAUUUUUUUAAUUGAAAGCAAACACCGAAUUUUCCUGAGAGUUCAAUUUAGCGCGAAUGCGCUUGUGCCAAUUGAAUAUCUGUGUUGAGCACCACAAAAUUAGGAAAACGUCGGUUGUUGUAUUCCAGUGUUUCCCAACCAGGGGUACUUGAGAAGACUCAUGAGGCCAUAGGCUUAUUGGUAAAGUGCACAUGAGGGGGUACUUCAAAGGUACCCUGGGCAGAGCAAAAUGUACUUGAUGUUACAGUAAACGAAAAAGGUUGGGAAUCAAAGUUUGAAGAGAUGUCCACCAGCAUAAUACCUGAGACUCUACUAUUCACUGUUUUAUCUGCGGCCAUUUGAUGAAUGGAAAGAGGCAUCUAUUACAACACACCAAAAAGUUGAAUGACAUUCGGAGAUUGUCAAGCCAAGCCUUCGAUACUGGGUAGGCAUACAAGGUAGGGAGGGAUGUAUUUUCCAUUAGUCGAGAUUUACAUAGCCUAUUUAUUGUGGUGUUGAAAACGCAAACCAUUAUAUUGAAGCGCCCAAAGUCGGUAUGAUUUGUUUAUUGGUUGUGUGAAAAAUGUGUUGCAUAUAUUUUAUAUAAUUGUAAAUAUGCCAUCAAAAUGUUGAAAAUCUGAUGUCUCCCUAGCCUAGCUGAUCAUUGUCUGCAGCCGGCUCUGAUCAUAAUGUAGGCCUAAUGAAAAGGGGAGAGUGAGAAAUAAGACCCCUCUUAUGACUGUGAUGGAACAUUUUAUUGGUUGUGCUUUUCUAAUAACUGAUUUCUGUGUUCGUGCAUGUGACUGAUUGAACGAAUCCUCAUUAUCAGUAUCUGCAAUUUGGCAGCACGCCCAGAACCUUGUUUUGAGAAAGGGAUAUCUCAGUUUCAAGGUCUCAGCUUGGAGAGAAGAAGCCUCGUGAGGUAUU